AGCUAGGCCCAAAUUUAUUCUGCGUGUCAUAAUACUGUCGCUUAUUGGCAUCGUCAUCGAAGCGAUUGUCAUCGUCAUCUUGGUAAUCAGAAAGCGUAGAGCUCGACCAGCACAGAAACAACGUUGUGAAGUUCCAACUAGAGAUCAAGAACUUCAAGACAUUGCCAACCCGACAGGCUUCCAAUGCAGUGCUGUACAAGAACAAGAACAUAUAUAUGCUUCUGCGGAUGUGGAGACCAUAGACCUUCAGGAGAUCCCGGGUAAAACAACAUUGAAUGAACUCAAAAUCACGGCUAACACAAGUGGUGCAUCACCUAAUGAUGACAGUCAUUCAGAAGAUGUUAACGAUUACGAGGGACUAAAUCUGCCCAGAGGACAAGAACACGUGUAUGACCUGACCGAGAGAAAAGGUGAGGCAGUUCCUGAUAAACCGUUAAGUUCCACCACAACAGAGGAUGUAACACCUCAUCAUGACACCCGCUCAGAGGAUGUGAAUGAAUACGAAGGAUUGAAUCUGCCAAGAGGUAA